UGCCAGCAGCCGCGGUAAUACGGAGGGUGCAAGCAUUAAUCGGAUUUAUUGGGCGUAAAGGGCGCGUAGGCGGGGUAGAAAGUCAAGUGUGAAAUUUCGGUGCUUAACAUCGAAGCUGCACCUGAAACUUCUACUCUGGAGGAUAGAUGGAGAAAGCGGAAUUCCACGUGUAGCGGUGAAAUGCGUAGAUAUGUGGAAGAACACCUGUGGCGAAAGCGGCUUUCUAAUUUAUUCCUGACGCUGAGGCGCGAGAGCGAGGGGAGCAAACAGGAUUAGAUA
rnacentral:rRNA from 1 species